rnacentral:rRNA from 1 species
CUAGGUCUUUCUAGAUGAGGGGGUACACCUGUUCCCAUUCCGAACACAGCAGUUAAGCCCUCAUUCGCCGAUAGUACUGCGGUCUAGCCGUGGAAGUGUAGGUCGAGGCCUAGA